CCUACGGGAGGCAGCAGUGGGGAAUAUUGGGCAAUGGGCGCAAGCCUGACCCAGCAACGCCGCGUGAAGGAAGAAGGCUCUCGGGUUGUAAACCUCUUUUGUCAGGGAAGUGUAGAAGACGGUACCUGACGAAUAAUCCACGGCUAACUACGUGCCAGCAGCCGCGGUCAUACGUAGGUGGCAAGCGAUGUCCGGAUUUACUGGGUGAAAAGGGAGCGUAGACGGCAGCGCAAGUCUGGAGUGAAAUGCCGGGGCGCAACCCCGGAACUGCGCUGGAAACUGUGAGGCUGGAGUGCAGGAGAGGUAAGCGGAAUUCCUGGUGUAGCGGUGAAAUGCGUAGAUAUCAGGAAGAACACCGACGGCGAAGGCGGCUUACUGGACUGUAACUGACGUUGAGGCUCGAAGGUGUGGGGAGCAAACAGGAUUAGAUACCCCGGUAGUC
rnacentral:rRNA from 1 species